rnacentral:rRNA from 1 species
UACGUAGGGGGCAAGCGUUGUCCGGAAUCAUUGGGCGUAAAGAGCGCGUAGGCGGUCCGAUAAGUCGGUUGUGAAAACUGGGGGCUCAACCCUCAGAGGCCGACCGAUACUGUCGGGCUAGAGUCCGGAAGAGGCGAGUGGAAUUCCUGGUGUAGCGGUGAAAUGCGCAGAUAUCAGGAGGAACACCGGUGGCGAAGGCGGGUCUCUGGGCCGAUACUGACGCUGAGGAGCGAAAGCGUGGGGAGCGAACAGG